CUCUGGCCGUGCACUUGCGGCUUACUGCUGCAUGACCGCUGCUUCCGUGUCAGACAAGCGACAGUCACAGGUGAAGAAGAGGAAGAAGACGCACAGGAAUGGCAGAGAAAGUUCAGCCAGUUCCACCCAAGGCUUUGACUUCAGCAGCAGCUUCACUCGUAAAAGGAAGAAGGUAGCAGAAAAAGCUGCUACAAAAAUAAAAUUGGACAAUUUCAGAGGCCGAACAAGUGUCCACAUUGAUGUUGCUUUUCAACUAUGGCAACAACUGAGGAAACAGAGGAGCUAAAAAGCGAUGCGAUGGUGGCUAUAUUUCUGUUAGACAGGGAUUGAUGAGACCACCACCCCUGCUCCACCAUUUCAUUGAUAUCUCUCCCACUGGACAGGUGCUGCCAUAGCAGAAGAAGCCACAAUGCCCACAUGACGCCACAUGCAGAGCCUGACCUGUCAGCAGACACUCCCCUCUGCCUAUA